rnacentral:rRNA from 1 species
UGGUGGAGUGAUUUGUCUGGUUAAUUCCGUUAACGAACGAGACCGCCGCCUGCUAAAUAGACCCGCGAAUGGCUUUUCAUUGGCGAGGUCUUCUUAGAGGGACGGUUCAUUCUUACAAGAAUGAAGGAAAGGAAUGGCGGGCGAAUAAACAA